AGGAGAGUUUGAUCCUGGCUCAGGAUGAACGCUGGCGGCGUGCUUAACACAUGCAAGUCGAACGGACUUGUUCCGCUGUAAGACGACGUGCUUGCAUUGAAUCUUACUUGGGACAAGUUAGUGGCGGACGGGUGAGUAACGCGUGGGGAACCUGCCUGUAUCUGGGGGAUAACAGUUAGAAAUGACUGCUAAUACCGCAUAAGCGCACACUGUCGCAUGACAGAGUGUGAAAAACUGAGGUGGAUACAGAUGGACCCGCGUUGGAUUAGCCAGUUGGUGGGGUAACGGCCUACCAAAGCGACGAUCCAUAGCCGGCCUGAGAGGGCGACCGGCCACAUUGGGACUGAGACACGGCCCAAACUCCUACGGGAGGCAGCAGUGGGGAAUAUUGCACAAUGGGGGAAACCCUGAUGCAGCGACGCCGCGUGAGCGAAGAAGUAUUUCGGUAUGUAAAGCUCUAUCAGCAGGGAAGAUGAUGACGGUACCUGACUAAGAAGCCCCGGCUAACCACGUGCCAGCAGCCGCGGUAAUACGUAGGGGGCAAGCGUUAUCCGGAUUUACUGGGUGUAAAGGGAGCGCAGGCGGCCCGGCAAGUCUGAUGUGAAAACCCAAGGCUCAACCAUGGGAUUGCAUUGGAAACUGUCGAGCUAGAGUAUCGGAGGGGUAAGUGGAAUUCCUAGUGUAGCGGUGAAAUGCGUAGAUAUUAGGAGGAACACCAGUGGCGAAGGCGGCUUACUGGACGAUAACUGACGCUGAGGCUCGAAAGCGUGGGGAGCAAACAGGAUUAGAUACCCUGGUAGUCCCCU
rnacentral:rRNA from 1 species